rnacentral:rRNA from 1 species
UACGUAGGGUGCAAGCGUUAAUCGGAGUUACUGGGCGUAAAGCGUGCGCAGGCGGUUGUGCAAGACAGAUGUGAAAUCCCCGGGCUCAACCUGGGAACUGCAUUUGUGACUGCACGGCUAGAGUGUGUCAGAGGGGGGUAGAAUUCCACGUGUAGCAGUGAAAUGCGUAGAGAUGUGGAGGAAUACCGAUGGCGAAGGCAGCCCCCUGGGAUAACACUGACGCUCAUGCACGAAAGCGUGGGGAGCAAACAGG